GACGAACGCUGGCGGCGUGCUUAACACAUGCAAGUCGAACGAUGAACCUCGAAAUGAUUUCUUCGGAAAGAUUUUUGAGAGGAUUAGUGGCGAACGGGUGAGUAACGCGUGAGCAACCUGCCUUAGACAAGGGGAUAGCCUCGGGAAACCGUGAUUAAUACCCUAUGAGACUCCACUUACGAGUGUAAGAGAAGUUAAAGCUAUUGCGGUCUAAGAUGGGCUCGCGUCUGAUUAGCUAGUUGGUGAGAUAAAAGCCCACCAAGGCGACGAUCAGUAACCGGCUUGAGAGAGUGAACGGUCACAUUGGAACUGAGACACGGUCCAAACUCCUACGGGAGGCAGCAGUGGGGAAUAUUGCACAAUGGGGGCAACCCUGAUGCAGCGACGCCGCGUGAGCGAUGAAGGAAUUCGUUUCGUAAAGCUCUGUCCUUGGAGAAGAUAAUGACGGUAACCAAGGAGGAAGCACCGGCUAAAUACGU
rnacentral:rRNA from 1 species